GAUGAACGCUAGCUACAGGCUUAACACAUGCAAGUCGAGGGGAAACGGCAUUGAGUGCUUGCACUCUUUGGACGUCGACCGGCGCACGGGUGAGUAACGCGUAUCCAACCUUCCCAUUACUGUGGGAUAACCUGCCGAAAGGCAGACUAAUACCGCAUAGUCUUCGAUGACGGCAUCAGAUUUGAAGUAAAGAUUUAUCGGUAAUGGAUGGGGAUGCGUCUGAUUAGCUUGUUGGCGGGGUAACGGCCCACCAAGGCUACGAUCAGUAGGGGUUCUGAGAGGAAGGUCCCCCACAUUGGAACUGAGACACGGUCCAAACUCCUACGGGAGGCAGCAGUGAGGAAUAUUGGUCAAUGGACGGAAGUCUGAACCAGCCAAGUAGCGUGCAGGAUGACGGCCCUAUGGGUUGUAAACUGCUUUUGUAUGGGGAAAAAGUUAGGGACGUGUCCCUAUUUGCAGGUACCAUACGAAUAAGGACCGGCUAAUUCCGUG
rnacentral:rRNA from 1 species